AAAAAAAGAAAAAAAAAUCCUUUUUUUUUUAAUACGUAUAUACACGUAUGUUUUGUUCGAUGAUACAUGACCUACUGCGAGACCAUCCCUCAUGGAAUUCGGCCUAGUAAGGGUGGUUGCGCACGCGUAUUACGAAGUUCAUUGCACCUAUGCUCUCAAAGAUAAAUGAAUUAUUUGUUCUGAUAAAAUAUAGUGGAAGUUUGAUGAUAUUGAUUGCCGAGAUUUAACUUAAAUUCCCUGUUUCAGGUUUAUUUUUAUUCGAUCUGUAGGAAUUUUAGACUUGAGGUAUCGUUUCUGUUGAAUUUGUUUUCUUUUCUUUUUUUUUUUACGAUAUAGUAGAUAUUUUUAUUAUUAAAACUAGAAAGACGACGACAAAUUUAUUAAACUUUUUAUUAUUCGAUCGAAAAUUAAAUCGAAAUAAUAUUUAAUCAAGUCUGAUUGCCUGUUGCUUACUCAAAAGAUUAAGGAAGGAAUUUAGAAUCGAUUACAAAGCUCAUGUCACAGAUAUUUCAUGACACUUAUUGGAGAGCAAUCCCGUGAAAUUUAGUUAGAAAUGCAGAGCGUGAAAGAAUAGCUGUUCACAGGUAAAUUUUGACGUGAUUUUAACAUUUCGAAAUUCUUGAUUUUGAAUAAUUAAAUUAUUCUCUAAU